rnacentral:rRNA from 1 species
AUGACCGUCGCCGAGCCGGAGAUGCCGGCGUCGGAGCGCAGGCUCGUGGCCCUCGCCAGGUGGGACGCGCUCAUCUUCCUGUACUACGGGAUCGUGUGGGUCGGCACCGCGGCGUCCAACGCCAAGGUCAUCGCGCGCGGCGCUCUGGGCGAGGUCGAGGGUUCCGCCGUGCUCGCGGCGGCGUCCUGGCUCUCCCACCACUCCCUUAUCUUCGCUGCCGUGUUCACCCCCGUUGCCUUGAUUCUCGUCGGCGCCACCGGAGUGCGCUCCGCGUACAACACCAGGAAGGAUAUCAAAGAGCCCCCGAAAACUCUUCACCAGGUUGCGCAGAUGAUGCUCAAGGAUCCUGUCAUUGUUGGAGCGCUUGUUUUGCUGGUCUUCCUCCCGCUCAUAAGUCAUGAAGAUUUGGUGGUCGGUCUGUUGCCUGUGAAAGAAUCUCAGAGGGAACAUGUUCGUUCAGUAUUGAGGGAUGUAGGGUCAUUGGGUGUCAGCGCAGUAUUUUGUUUCAUCAUGUUGCCCACUACGGUGCUGAGGCAGUGGAGGAUGAAGUAA